rnacentral:misc_RNA from 1 species
GAAAACCCUAGUAAACCCAAAAAACCUCCAUAGCCAAGAAGCAAAUUGCUGUGAUAGAGAAGAUGGGAGAAUCAGAUGCAAAAGCAGAGACAUCACUGAAAGAUCAGGGAAAUGAAUUCUUCAAAGCUGGGAAUUAUCUCAAAGCGGCAGCUUUGUACACUCAAGCCAUCAAGAAAGACCCAUCAAACGCCACUCUUUACAGCAAUCGCGCUGCAGCAUUUUUGCAUCUGGUUAAACUUAGCAAAGCACUUGCUGAUGCCGAGAUGACGAUCAAUCUGAAACCAGAGUGGGAAAAGGGUUAUUUCAGGAA